AGAUGGAAUUAGACACAGCAUUGAGUGACUUGGAGGCUGCAGAUUUUGCAGAACUGUCUGAGGAUUACUAUGACAUGAGGCGGCUGUAUACGAUUUUAGGGUCUUCUUUGUUUUACAAGGGUUAUUUGAUAUGCAGUCAUUUGCCUAAGGAUGAUCUUAUUGAUAUUGCCGUAUAUUGUCGCCACUAUGGCCUACUGCCUUUAGCAGCAAAACAAAGAAUUGGUCAGUUGGUAAUAUGGAGAGAAGUGUU